GGCGGGUUGGCAGAGUGGUCGAACGCGACCGACUGUAAAUCGGUUGGCGGUGCUAGUCCCACCGUCCAGGGGUUCGAAUCCCUUACCCGCCUCCA
rnacentral:tRNA from 1 species